rnacentral:rRNA from 1 species
GUUGGCGGCGGGAGAGUAACGAGUAGAUACGUACCCAGGGGUUCGGGAUAGCCAUGCGAAAGCGUGAGUAAUACCGAAUAAUGUCUCCGGACCAAAUAUUUAUAGCCCUUGGAGCGGUCUGCUUACUAUUAGCUUGUUGGUGGGGUAAAAGCCUACCAAGGCGAAGAUGGUUAGCGGGUGUGAGAGCAUGGCCCGUCUCACUGGGACUGAGACACUGCCCAGACAUCUACGGAUGGCUGCAGUCGAGAAUCUUCCGCAAUGGACGAAAGUCUGACGGAGCGACGCCGCGUGAUGGACGAAGGCCCUCGGGUUGUAAACAUCUGUCGUAGGGGAGGAAAUUUUGACCGAUCCUAGGAGGAAGCACAGGCUAAGUUCGUGCCAGCAGCCGCGGUAAUACGAACUGUGCAAACGUUAUUCGGAAUCACUGGGCUUAAAGGGUGCGUAGGCGGGUUAGUAGGUCAGAUGUGAAAGCCCACGGCUCAACCGUGGAAUUGCGUUUGAAACCACUAGUCUUGAGGGGAUCAGAGGAGAGCGGAACUGAUGGUGGAGCGGUGAAAUGCGUUGAUAUUAUCAGGAACACCGGUGGCGAAGGCGGCUCUCUGGGAUCUUUCUGACGCUGAGGCACGAAAGCUAGGGGAGCGAACGGGUUUAGAUACCCCGGUAGUCCUAGCUGUA